GACGAUAAGACCCUAUAAAACUUUACUAUAAGCUAAGUUAUUUAGAUUAAAUUUUGGACUAUAGUUUAGCUGGGGCGGUUAAUAUAAAAACAAUUGUAGUGUAAAUAUGUUAAAUAGAAUUUGAGAACUCUGGUAAGAAAUAAAUAAGUUACUUUAGGGAUAACAGCAUAAUUUCCCCAGAGAGUCCUAAUUGGCGGGGGGGCUUAUGACCUCGAUGUUGAAUUGGGGUGUCUAAUAUAAGUAGAAAUAUAUUAAGAUAGUCUGUUCGACUAUUAAACCCCCACAUGAUUUGAGUUCAGACCGGCGUGAGCCAGGUUGGUUUCUAUCUUUUGAAAGUUGUAGAUUUAAAUUGUACGAAAGGACCUUUGCAU
rnacentral:rRNA from 1 species